rnacentral:rRNA from 1 species
GAUGAACGCUGGCGGCGUGCCUAAUACAUGCAAGUCGAGCGAACGGACGAGAAGCUUGCUUCUCUGAUGUUAGCGGCGGACGGGUGAGUAACACGUGGAUAACCUACCUAUAAGACUGGGAUAACUUCGGGAAACCGGAGCUAAUACCGGAUAAUAUUUUGAACCGCAUGGUUCAAAAGUGAAAGACGGUCUUGCUGUCACUUAUAGAUGGAUCCGCGCUGCAUUAGCUAGUUGGUAAGGUAACGGCUUACCAAGGCAACGAUGCAUAGCCGACCUGAGGGGGGGAGCGGCCACACUGGAACUGAGACACGGUCCAGACUCCUACGGGAGGCAGCAGUAGGGAAUCUUCCGCAAUGGGCGAAAGCCUGACGGAGCAACGCCGCGUGAGUGAUGAAGGUCUUCGGAUCGUAAAACUCUGUUAUUAGGGAAGAACAUAUGUGUAAGUAACUGUGCACAUCUUGACGGUACCUAAUCAGAAAGCCACGGCUAACUACGUG